AAAGUACAUGUUUAUGAUUCCGCUUCGGCCGCAAAAUGGCAGACCCUCCAACGCGCACGGUCGCUAUAAAACUCAUCUCUCACAAAGGAAUGUGAGAUUAAUUUGAAAAACUUAACAAAAAUUAUAAGUUAUUCAACUAUGCUUUAUAUGACAUCCGCUUAGUAAUGACGUGUUUGUCACUUCCCUUCGAUGUUACUAUAUGCAGAUUCUACUAUAUCUCUAUAAGGUAAGUCUUACAUAAUAGUCGAUACUUUCCACGCGUCGUCUGAUUCGCUACUUCUGAUGCUGACUGUAUUUUACUAAUAAAUCAACUUCAACGUAGAAAAAACUUACUUCCUAGAAUUUUAGAACUAAUAUGUGUAUAUUUGAUACUUUGAAACUGCUUAGAAACUUCCGAGUAGCUAUGACAUUAAAAACUGGUCUUGUGAACUACUUUUUAAUCAAUUUUUGCAAACUUUCUUGGCUUGCUUGCAUAUUUGUGAGUGAUGAUGCAAACUAAAACUUGAAUCAGACUUUUACCCACUUGUUGUUUUAUGACAAAACCAUUUCUAGGAACUAAAUAUUAACUAGCUUGAUUUAACCUUUUAUAUGGCAACGAUCUCAAAAAACAACACCAUAUAAGAUCAUCUUUUUGUAUUUUAGGCUUUGUACAUAAUUUUUAGGGCUAUGAUCUUGUACAUAAUUAGAUUGGCAAUGAGGCUUGAAUUGAGGAUAAGAAUAUUUAAAUAAUAACCAUAGAAACAAAAUAAAAAAUAAACUCUCAUAAUCGUUCCCCUGGAUACAGAGUUUUAUGCUAACAACAAUUACGUAGCUGAAUUUAAAAUAUUAUUUUGACAAUCGAAAUUCGAUUGAACUCCUAAAAAAUCCCUACUUACAUCUAUAUUCAAGUACUGAACAAUAUGAUUUAAAAUGAGUCACAGUCUGCUCCAAUAACUCUUGGUAACUUCAUUAUAGCAAGCUCUUUGUCAGAUUACUAAAGAUUUGCCUACUCUCAAAAUUCAUGGUUUUAGUAACAAUUCGGGUCGCGAACAAAUUAAAUAAUAUAUUUAUUAGCUUUUAACUUCUAAUUUCCACUCAGAACAUUAACCCAGUAAAGUAAGCUCAAUUUAUGUAAUGAAUUACCAAUUUUCCCCAUAAGAAAGUUGAGAGUUUAACAGUUUUAACCCUUUCAGUGACUCAAGUUCGUUCAUUACGCAGGCUGGUAACUUUUUGCUAAGUGUCGAAUAUUUUGGAGUGCCAAAUGAGAAAUCUCGAGUUUAUUUUCCUUACGGUUAAAUCAAACCAUUUGGUUGGAUGUGGCACUUUGGAGUUUAUGUCUAAAUUUAUGUAUUGUCUUAUCAAGUGAGCACUCGCUUAGCUGAAGUUGCGACUCAAUUUGAUUUUUGAAACUUAAGCUACAUUAUAUUUGUGUUUUGGUUCAGUUGUUUUUUACUCUUUCUCUCUCAAGACAGAACCUUAAAUAGCGGCAACGGAAACCUCCGUAAUGGACAUUUUCCCAACUUAUUCUUGUCAGCUCUUUCACCAGUAAUAUUUUUUAUGGUGAUAUUUUAAACGAUUUUUUUAUUUGAAUUUAAUCUUUCAUUUCGUAAUUUAUAUGUAUGUAUAAGGUACAAUAUUCUAACAAUCUAAACAAAUGUGUCUUUUAAGAAACAUCUUUCAUCGUUAAAUUUACUUGAUGAAUAAUUAGCGUACGAUGUUGUCAUAUUCAAAAUUUCAGCUUCCUCUGUUUUCUCCGUUAUUAUGUUGAAGUUGAUAUAUUAUAAUUAUCACUUCACGCAUUUAUCAUGUGCUGUUUCUAUUUUCUGUGUUCGCUAAUGAGUACUUUUAUAUUAAUCGUUAUAUAAGUUUCAUCGAAACGGACAAAACUCUUCCUCACUUCUUAGAUAGGCAUUGUACCCCAAAAAUAAUCUGGCAGCUCGCUUGUUUUCCCCAGGAGACCGAUUAAAAAUUCAUUUUCAACGGGCAUUAGGGAAUAAACUACGGUACGGUAGUAGGUACUCGUACAUACCGAAAUCUUUUUAUUGUAUAUGUAUGUACGAUAUCUGUAUACUUAUGUUCGUACUUAACUAAGAUUCUAUCAGUUCUCACUCAAUGUGCGCUCGCAAAGUGAGGUAAUCCCUUUCGGGGUGGAGUGGACUGUGGCCAUUUUAUAUGAAAUAUUAAUAUACUCUCUGCUUCUAAGGUGAUUCCUUUGCGUUAAUGGAGUUCUUCAAGAAGCGAAUAUUCAAACUUCUUAAUGUUUGGCAGCGCAUAAGUGGCUCUUUUGAUAUUGUUUACUUAAUGUCCGAGGGCGAAGAUGACAAAAUAAAAUUAUUGUAAUUUUUCUUUGAUAGGUUUUUGUGAUCUUAAUAGUAAUAUUUAAAAAAAAAAUAUUUUUUAAUUAUUGAGCCCAACGUAGAAUAUGAUAAAAGGAAUAUAAUACAUGAAAAUAUUACUCAACACAAUUGUAAUUACGUUUUUUUAAUUCAUAUCAGCAAAUCCCAUACAACAACUCAAAAACAUUUAGGACCCAUUUAUUUAUUUUAGGACCCGCGUAUGUCCUUAAACUACGUCCACAAGAGAGGUAUGGGUAUUGUGAAUGUCAUCUCGCUUUGUGUGGUAGGGCACAGCACAGCGGAUGUCACUCCAGAUCUAGAGCAGAGCCCAACUGGGGAAGUACCUCCACCUUACAGAAAACCGCAGCCAAAUAACACUAGACCCUACUCAUAGUGUUGUGUUCCUGCCGGUCGGCAACGCGCAUGUAACUCCUCUGGAGUUGCAGGCGUACAUAGCUACGGAGACUGCUUACCAUCAGGCGGGCCGUAUGCUUGUUUACCACCACCGACGUA